AUUGAACGCUGGCGGCAGGCCUAACACAUGCAAGUCGAACGAGUGGCGGACGGGUGUGUAAUGUCUGGGAAACUGCCUGAUGGAGGGGGAUAACUACUGGAAACGGUAGCUAAUACCGCAUACCAUCAGAUGUGCCCAGAUGGGAUUAGUGAGUUGGUGGGGUAACGGCUACCAACGGCGACGAUCCCUAGCUGGUCUGAGAGGAUGACCAGCAACACUGGAACUGAGACACGGUCCAGACUCCUACGGAAGGCAGCAGAGGGAAAUAGUGCACAAUGGGCGCAAGCCUGAUGCAGCCAUGCCGCGUGGAUGAAGAAGGCCUACGGGUUGUAAGGUACUUUCAGCGGGGAGGCGUUACCCGCAGAAGAAGCACCGGCUAACUCCGUGCCAGCCGCCGCGGUAAUUC
rnacentral:rRNA from 1 species